GAUGAACGCUGACAGAAUGCUUAACACAUGCAAGUCGAUGGGGAAGUGGUGCUUGCACCAUGGCAACCAUGGCGGACGGGUGAGUAACGCGUAAGGGACUUACCUGCAGGACUGGGAUAACAGGGGGAAACUCCUGACAAGACCGGAUAAUGUCAUGGAGCUGCAUGGCUUUAUGAUGAAAGGAGACGCCUGCGGAGAGCCUUGCGUCCUAUUAGCUAGUUGGUGAGGUAAUGGCUCACCAAGGCGAAGAUAGGUAGCCGGCCUGAGAGGGUGGACGGCCACAAGGGGACUGAGAUACGGCCCUUACUCCUACGGGAGGCAGCAGUGGGGAAUAUUGGACAAUGGGGGCAACCCUGAUGCAGCAAUUCUGUGUGCACGAAGAAGGUUUUCGGAUUGUAAAGUGCUUUCAGCAGGGAAGAAGUAAGUGACGGUACCUGCAGAAGAAGCGACGGCUAAAUACGUG
rnacentral:rRNA from 1 species